rnacentral:rRNA from 1 species
UAACUUGGUCCAUUAGAUUAAGUUAAAAGUCGUAACAAGGUUUCAGUAGUGUAACUGCGGCAGUAUCAGUACUUGCACGCCGCCCUUUACCGUUUGGGAGUUGGCCCAGGGGCUGGCCCGUCGCGUAAGUGCGGACUCCCACUAGCAGUCCCUCUCUCACACCCGUGAUCUCCAUUCAGCGGCGGAGCGCGAAAAGUCUGCCUUUCCCUUUCCUCACAAACCUGUAACAGUAUGUCAGUCGUUUAGAUAAAAAAUUCCACUUUCGACCACGGAUGCUUUUGGCUCUCGCAUAGAUGAAGAAGGCAUGGAAAUAGGAAAAGUAAUGUGAAAUGCAGAAUUCAGUUAAUCUUCGAAUCUUCGCCCGCCCCUUGCGCCCCUUGGUAUUCCGAGGUGCAUGCCUGUUUCAGUGUCUUGUCACCAGUCGACCCAAAUUUGCGUUUGGGCUCGGAUCUUUGGACACAUGCGGGCCUGGUGCCGCUUGUCCGAAAUGCCUUAUCCACAAGGCGCCUGUCGCCGCCAUCGUGCGGCGAGCCUGGCAUGGGAGAGUAGGUAGACCAUCCCUCCUUACUGCUCAAAGUUGGUGCUUUGUGGCUCCAAACCGUGAUGUGCAAAAAGAAGCCAACUUUCAUUUUGGCCUCGAAUCAGGUAGGACUACCCGC